rnacentral:rRNA from 1 species
UACGUAGGGGGCUAGCGUUGUCCGGAAUCAUUGGGCGUAAAGAGCGUGUAGGCGGCCCGGUAAGUCCGCUGUGAAAGUCGGGGGCUCAACCCUCGAAUGCCGGUGGAUACUGUCGGGCUAGAGUGCGGAAGAGGCGAGUGGAAUUCCUGGUGUAGCGGUGAAAUGCGCAGAUAUCAGGAGGAACACCGAUUGCGAAGGCAGCUCGCUGGGACGUAACUGACGCUGAGACGCGAGAGCGUGGGGAGCAAACAGG